rnacentral:lncRNA from 1 species
GUCAGUUAUGAAUUUGAAGUUAUUGAUUACACACUGAAAUUCAACUCUUGUGAUCCUCCCCCAUUCAAAGCUUAUCUUAUUCUUUAAAAGGGUGUCUUUAAGUUGCUUUCAUUCUCACAGGCUUGUUGCAAAAGCCUGCUUAUUGUCACUGACAUAUACAGAAAGGUCAGUCGAUGUUUGUAAUGAAGAUGUGCAUUUAUCAACGUAGGUUCCUUUCACCUCGUUUGCAGGAGGAAGGUAAACACAGGUUUCAGAAGUACAAACAUCACCACCCCCAGGCCCCCAUCCCCAAACAAACAAAAGUCUAGAUUGUAAAAUAUUUCUCUUCUACAGUUGUCAUCUACUGGUUAUAAAGAAAAUUGAUGUGGGCAUCCGCUGAUGUGGGCAUCCGCUCAUAUUCAAGCAGUAUCUGGAACAGAAGGCAACUUUCUCAAACAUUAUUGAUCCUCAAGGAACUUUGCACAGAGGGAAAUGCUGAAAGAGAUCUGGCUUGUACACCUGGGCCAGCAUAUUGCACAAAAACA